UCGGCUAGGGGGCCAUCCCGGCUUACCAACCCGAUGCAAACUGCGAAUACCGGAGAAUGUUAUCACGGGAGACACACGGCGGGUGCUAACGUCCGUCGUGAAGAGGGAAACAACCCAGACCGCCAGCUAAGGUCCCAAAGUCAUGGUUAAGUGGGAAACGAUGUGGGAAGGCCCAGACAGCCAGGAUGUUGGCUUAGAAGCAGCCAUCAUUUAAAGAAAGCGUAAUAGCUCACUGGUCGAGUCGGCCUGCGCGGAAGAUGUAACGGGGCUAAACCAU
rnacentral:rRNA from 1 species